rnacentral:rRNA from 1 species
UACGUAUGGGGCUAGCGUUGUUCGGAAUUAUUGGGUGUAAAGGGCGUCUAGGCGGGAAAUUAAGUUAGGUGUGUAAUCCAUAAGCUCAACUUGUGAACUGCACCUAAAACUGGUUUUCUUGAGUUAGGGAGAGGAGAGCGGAAUUCUCGGUGUAGCGGUGAAAUGCGUAGAUAUCGAGAAGAACACCAGUGGCGAAGGCGGCUCUCUGGCCUAUAACUGACGCUGAAGCGCGAAAGCGUGGGUAGCGAACGGG